rnacentral:rRNA from 1 species
CCCGCACAAGCGGUGGAGUAUGUGGUUUAAUUUCGAUGCAACGCGAAGAACCUUACCUGGUCUUGACAUCCCAGAAAUCCCUUGGAAACUUGGGAGUGCUUCCAUUAGGAAGAAUCUGGAGACAGGUGCUGCAUGGCUGUCGUCAGCUCGUGUCGUGAGAUGUUGGGUUAAGUCCCGCAACGAGCGCAACCCUUGCCUUUAGUUGCCAGCAGUUCGGCUGGGCACUCUAAAGGGACUGCCGGUGUUAAACCGGAGGAAGGUGGGGAUGACGUCAAGUCCUCAUGGCCUUUAUGACCAGGGCUACACACGUACUACAAUGGCCGAUACAAAGGGCAGCGACAUCGCGAGGUGAAGCCAAUCCCAUAAAAUCGGUCUCAGUCCGGAUUGGAGUCUGCAACUCGACUCCAUGAAGUUGGAAUCGCUAGUAAUCGUGGAUCAGCAUGCCACGGUGAAUACGUUCCCGGGCCUU